rnacentral:rRNA from 1 species
CAGUCGCCACGGUAAUACGUAGGUGGCGAGCGUUGUCCGGAAUUAUUGGGCGUAAAGGGAGCGCAGGCGGACAUAUAAGUCCAUCUUAAAAGUGCGGGGCUCAACCCCGUGAGGGGAUGGAAACUGUAUGCCUUGAGUGCAGGAGAGGAAAGCGGAAUUCCCAGUGUAGCGGUGAAAUGCGUAGAUAUUGGGAGGAACACCAGUGGCGAAGGCGGCUUUCUGGACUGCAACUGACGCUGAGGCUCGAAAGCCAGGGGAGCGAACGGGAUUAGAUACCCCCUGUAGUCCCUGUCUCUUAUAA